GCGAAUCAUCGAGUCUUUGAACGCAAGUUGCGCCCGAGGCUUGUCCGAGGGCAUUUCCGCUAGAGCGUCAC
rnacentral:rRNA from 1 species